rnacentral:sRNA from 1 species
AAUUAGCCCUGAUUGUAGCGGCAUCCUUUUUAUUUUAUUUUGAAUUGUGAUUCUGAGCUUGUCGAAGCAAUUUGUUAGCUCAAAAUAAAAAGAUACAGCGAAAAGCAGGAAUUAGC